CACACACACACACAAACUUCUACACCUUCAGUUUUCCACCAAAAAACAUUACACGUGCGAUCCACUUUUCAUUUCAUAAUUAUUCCCUCCUGUUUCUUAUUUGUGUUACUUUUUCCUGACAGUUUUUAAGCUACACUGAUCUCGUCUAAUGAAAAAAGCCUCCAGAUUUAAGCCAUUAAGCCAUUAGCUCUGUAGAAAAGCUGCCAGCCAUCCUGAAAGCCUCCAGGUCCACUUUCCCAACCACAAGAUGUGUUACAUAUGUUACAUGUUACACAAACACAGGUCAUGGAUAAAGCUGCACUUCAGAUGAUAUCUCCAGUUAUACAAGCGGAUAAUGUUCAGGAUCUGGAACGUAAAGGCGCUGAGGUUCCAGUGGACUUUUUUCGGCUUUCUCUCCUGAUCCCUUUCCUGUCACAGUCUAACAGAGGGAUGAAAGAUCUAGCGUCUGGAAUAUCACUGAGGUAGGCUCCAGGCAAGGUGUAGAAACAUCUCAGCAAUGACCAAGAGAACUGGGAGGCACCAAAGAUUAUUUACAAGUGUUAAACUUCUGUACAUGACGUAAAUUUUUAUUUUUUUUUUUUUUUUACAACGUUUACAGAUAUUUCAAGAAUUGUUUUCACUUAGUCAUUAAGAGAUACUGAAUGUAGAUUAAUAAGCAAAAAAUGUAAUUUAAUUAAUAUUUAUAAUUUAUAAUAAUAAUUUACUGCAUAUAUACUGUUUAUUUUUAAACACAAUAUUUUAUUAAAGAUUGCUUGUUUGU